CUGACUGAUUAAAAGAAGAGCCAACACCAGAAAGAAAAGCAUGAUCCAGAAGUUACGAGCUGAGCUGGACAAGCCAAGUGCCUGCCUUCCCUUCUCCUCCACCAGGACGGAGAACCUGAACGGUGCGAGCAGUGAUUUGGAUUUCCUGCACAGCUCCCGGGGCAAACUGAAGUUUUCUCUCCUCUACUGCAGAGACCAACGUGAGCUGCUUUUGACAGGCCUGGAGGCCAGGGAUCUGCCUAGCCAAGGCCGCGCCGAGUCUUCUGUCCGUAUCCGACUGCUGAGGCAGGUCCCGUCCCACAUCCCUGGGCUCCAGUGCAUGGUCCAUGAGUGGCAAAGCCAGGUGGUGAAGAACUGCAGCAGGCCAGCCUUUGGGGACAAGUUUGUCUGCUCCCUGAGGGACACCGAGGUGGAGAAGAGCACUCUGAAGCUGGAGGUUCAACGCUUCGACAAAUACUCCAGAAAUGCUGUGCUGGGGGAAGUCAGAGUUGCCCUGAGAGACCUAAAGGCUUCCCAAAGCCUGGUUUUAUGUGAAGAUCUGCAGAAGAGUACAAAGGCAGUGACUCUAUUACAUUGGCCUUAACCAGUGUGUCCAAAUAGUGGCUGGGAGGGAUGUUAGAACAUGGAUGUUAAUACAACCAUCUCAGUUUUAUUAAUGAAAAAUUCCUGCCCUGCAUCCUUGGGGACCAUCUGUGAACCUGGAUGAAUUUAAUUUCACACCUAUCUUUCAUAGAUAGGCAACACAGCGAAGGCUACAAAGGACUGUUGCUGGCAGUUGUUAAAAAGUUAAAAAGCUAAAAAAAUUCA
rnacentral:lncRNA from 1 species